UACGGAGGGUGCAAGCGUUAAUCGGAAUUACUGGGCGUAAAGCGUGCGUAGGCGGCUUUUUAAGUCGGAUGUGAAAUCCCCGAGCUUAACUUGGGAAUUGCAUUCGAUACUGGGAGGCUAGAGUCUUGUAGAGGGGGGUAGAAUUCCAGGUGUAGCGGUGAAAUGCGUAGAGAUCUGGAGGAAUACCGAUGGCGAAGGCAGCCAUCUGGCCUAAUACUGACGCUGAGGUACGAAAGCAUGGGGAGCAAACAGG
rnacentral:misc_RNA from 1 species